UUAAACCCCGUGGCCAGCAGGCUGUGAGUUGGUCAGGAAAUUCCAAAUGGGUAUAAAUAAAUGCUCUGCAGCAGCUCCUGGGCUCUUUGCCUGCUAACGUGUGCAGGCCCUUUAAUGCAAGGGAAGUGGGCCUGAGACUUGGCUUCCUGCUUGCUGAAAAUUACAGUUAUUUUGUUUCUGGGUGGCCUGGAAAGAAUAACUCAGUCCUGGAUUUUUGGUUCAGUGACAGUUUCAGCUUUAGCCCGUGGCUCUAACAUAAGAUGUCAUUGUCGUGGGAGUGAGAGGUUGUAUGUAUAUGUUAAGCCUGACUUCUGGACUCCUAAGGCCUGCCCAGGACGGGACUGAUGAUACAGCAAAAGGAAGCUGCAUUUGGGGAUUGUUAAGUUGUGCCCCUUGUUACCAUGCAGCUGGAAAGUGCUGCCCAAUGGAGUGGGCAGAGAGCAAGGCCCCGGGUUCUGUAUGAGUUCAUCUGGUCUGACAACUGCUGUAAUUAAUUUCUUCCUUCACUUGCUCACAUAGCAUGCGAUGUUAUGGAAUUUUGUGUGAAGUAUAGUGAAAGGGUCAUGGUCUGGAAGCAACCUUUGGAAAUCAUCGAGUUCCACCAGUCCCCUCAUUUUAUGCGUACAGAGCUUGUCGCUGAGUGUGCAGUUCCAGACCCUUGUUGCCCAUUGCUUGUCUGUGAACUAGGAAGUAUUUAUAGCUCCUGUACUUGUUUUAUGAAAAAAUUAUACCGCCCCCUGCCCCCAAGUUUAGGCAAGCCAUUCUGGAUGACUGCAUGGAAAUACAGUCAGUGGUUCUAAGGCACACGUCUCUGCACAGUGUGUUAAAGAAUGCUCUACUCUUAAGAUUUCAGUAGAGAUAGAAGAAUAAGAUUGUUGAUAAAAAUUAGUGCCUACCUUUGUCCUCUUAUUGUGAGAAGAAAAUAUCUUAACUUGGUCUUAAUAUACUUUUAAAGAUUGGGGAAGUCUUUCUGCUUUUACGUUUUGUUUUAUUUUACUUCCUUCCUAUGUAUAAUUGAUGCUGGAUUAGGGCUCCCUGUGUACCUAACCAGCACCCACACUCCACUCCCCUGAGCCCCCUAGUGUGUGCACACAUACACAUGAACAUCCUCUGCAGGGCCCAGCCAGCAUCUCCCUCAGCCAGCAGAAACCGAUUUAGAUGUUUAGCAAACUCGAUUUUGAAAAGCAUCACAAAUACCUUCAAACCCUAGCUUUGUGGGUUAGGGGGAGAAAAAGCAGGGUGGAGGGAGAGGAGUUCUGGACUAUCUGGAUGCCAGGGCUAUGUGCUUCACCAAACAACAGAGGGUGGUCCAAUAAUAGUAAAUAAUAAUAGUAGUCGUCUGCCGACAUAGCUCUAAGUAUGCCACAAAAACACUGUGAGGCAGGUCUCUUAUUUUCCCAGUUAUACAGCUGGAACAGAAUCUUCACUUGCCAACGGCUGGAGAGUGGCAGCGGCAGGAUUCGAACCCAGGCAGUCUGGUCCCAGAGUGCCUGAUUUUAAUCACUACAGCUCUUCCUCCACCAUACUUAACUAACUGGCACAUGCCUAGACAUGGGGUUUUUCAUUUCACCAAAUACCGAGCAUGCUGUGUGCCAAGCACCAUGCUAUGCACUGAAAGAAAGGUAGAAAAAUACUGCUUGGUUCCUGCCCCACAGCACACCUACAGUCUGGUGGGGGAAGACAGGCAUGUGCCUGGCAGUCACAACACAGGUCAGUACGUAUUAGCAAAGAGUUCUAGGAGAAUGGAGGGGAGAAGGUGACCAGGUCUUUCCAGGGCAGAGCAGUUAGGGAUAAGGGAAGACUCUACAAAGGAUGGGAUAUUCGGGUUGGGCCCCUAAGGUGAAAGCAGCUAAUUCUGACAGAUGGAAGAAGCUGGGGAAGGGCGUGCCAGGUAGAGGGAACAGAGUGAGCAAAGGCAGGUAGGCUUAAAGUUGCUUGGUUGGUUGAGGUUUGGAGUGGGGUAGUGGGCGGAGGGAGGAAACUGGGAAGUGCUGGAUUGGGGCAAAGUUGUUGAAGACUUUGAAUGCGACAGGAAGGAACUUAUGGACUUUUAUUUUCUAUAAUGGGGCUCCUGGCAACCAAUCUGCAAAAUUAAUAUUUGAGAAGCUCUAUAAGUUUCCAGGGAUACCUCAAACCAAUGUAAAAUUCCUCAAAGAGUAUGUAAUAUAGGAGAGCCAGAGACAUUAGGCUUGAUAAAAAACAGGCUGCUGAAUUUGCAUAUGAGCAACAGCAGAGCGUUGGCUGUGCUCCCUGGUGACUCACACUGACUGCUGUCAUGUACCCCGAAGAUACUGGAGGCACAAGUAGACGAGGUUAUUAUCAUCUAUAUCUAUAUAAUUUAUUUUGAAAUAAUUUCAAACUUAGAGAAAAUUUAUAAAAGAACUCUCAUGCCUUCUUCAUCCAGAUUCAGAUUCCCCAGUGGUUAAUAUUUUGCCACAUUUGCUGUCUCUUUUUGCAUGUAUGUAUGUGCUUGUGUGUGUAUGUGUGUAUGUAGACAUGCAUUUGUCAUAUCUCUUUAAUCGCCUUCAAUCUGAAACAGUUCUUAGCCUUUCUUUUCUUUGAUGACCUUGACAGUUUAAAAAAUAUAUAUAUGGAAUCUAAAAAAAAAUGGUACUGAUGAACCUAGUUUCAGGGCAGGAAUAAAGAUGUAGACAUAGAGGAUAGACUUGAG